GUGAAUCAUCGAAUUUUUGAACGCAAAUUGCACUCUCCUCGGAGAGUAUGCCUGUUUGAGGGUCAGCCUAUAAAAAAUCGACAUCGUUACUGUUUCGCGGUGUCGUUCGUCGGAGAUUGGGUCAUCUUAUUGCUGUUGGUUUUAAGCGACUUAAAAUUUUCUUUUUGGUUCCAUGACCGUCUCUAAGUUUU
rnacentral:misc_RNA from 1 species